rnacentral:rRNA from 1 species
AUUGAACGCUGGCGGCAGGCCUAACACAUGCAAGUCGAGCGGAUGAAGAGAGCUUGCUUUCUGAUUUAGCGGCGGACGGGUGAGUAAUGCCUAGGAAUCUGCCUGGUAGUGGGGGAUAACGUCCGGAAACGGGCGCUAAUACCGCAUACGUCCUACGGGAGAAAGCAGGGGACCUUCGGGCCUUGCGCUAUCAGAUGAGCCUAGGUCGGAUUAGCUAGUUGGUGAGGUAAUGGCUCACCAAGGCGACGAUCCGUAACUGGUCUGAGAGGAUGAUCAGUCACACUGGAACUGAGACACGGUCCAGACUCCUACGGGAGGCAGCAGUGGGGAAUAUUGGACAAUGGGCGAAAGCCUGAUCCAGCCAUGCCGCGUGUGUGAAGAAGGUCUUCGGAUUGUAAAGCACUUUAAGUUGGGAGGAAGGGCAGUAAGUUAAUACCUUGCUGUUUUGACGUUACCGACAGAAUAAGCACCGGCUAACUUCGUGCCAGCCGCCGCGGUAACAC